rnacentral:lncRNA from 1 species
GUACUCGUCCCUUAUAUAUCAACACAAGUAGCCAAGACCUAUAUUUUUCUCUCAAGUUCAGUGUAGUGCUUUUUUCAAUAAUCAACCCAAUGUUUUUCACUUUGUGACAUGGCCCAGGCUCACAUUUUCUAUUCUCACCCCACAAAGACUUUGCACUUAUGAUAUAUACUUGUUUUGUACAAAAUUAUGGGACUUUAAAUUGACUAUUUUUUCAUUCAAACUUUCUUACCUGCUGACAAUUCAAAUAAAACACUAAACUUUGGCGGAUUAGAGAUUAGUCUAAAGAAAAGAUAUAUAAGUCACACAAAUAUUUCAAAACCACAAUUUAUUCAAAUUUCCUUUAAAUUAAUUAUUAAACUAAUAACAAUAAACUAAAACUUAAUUAAAAAGACUCUAAAAACUACAUUUGACGAGACGUCAUCA